UACAGAGGGGGCAAGCGUUGUUCGGAAUUACUGGGCGUAAAGGGCGCGUAGGCGGCCCUCUAAGUCGAACGUGAAAUCCCUGGGCUCAACCCAGGAACUGCGUCCGAGACUGGGGGGCUCGAAUCCGGGAGAGGGAUGUGGAAUUCCAGGUGUAGCGGUGAAAUGCGUAGAUAUCUGGAGGAACAUCGGUGGCGAAGGCGGCAUCCUGGACCGGUAUUGACGCUGAGGCGCGGAAGCCAGGGGAGCAAACGGG
rnacentral:rRNA from 1 species